GCAGUGUUACACUAAUUUUUCUUACUUUCCUUUCCUUUGAUUUCUUUUAGUUGAUUUGGAGCAUCUACGGGCUGUAAAAACUGACAAACAUCUUCGAUUUUGCCAGGAAAAUCAUUCUAGCAGCCAUUUUGUUUCAGCUAAGACAGGUGAUUCUGUCUUCCUGUGUUUUCAAAGAAUUGCUGCCGACCUCCUUGAUGUCAAAUUAAACAAAGCAGAAAUAGAACAAUCACAGAGUGUAGUGAAGGCGGAUAUUGUAAACUAUAGCCAGGAGCCCGUGACAAGAACAGUUAACUCUCCCAGAAGCUCAAUGUGUACAAUCCAGUGAACUUUUUUCUUUUUCUUUCUUUCUUUUUUUGUAUUGAUCUUCCUUGGCAUCCAUGCUACCUUUGCACAGACAGAGGGGUUGCCAGGAAUGUUGUUUUAACUGUGAACAUUACUGUGGUGCAUUUAGAAGUUUCUAAAACUUAGUACCCAUUUGUGUGUUGAAAAGCAGCAGGCAGUUUCUUUGGCUAGCCAAGAUUCAAAUGUAGGGACCACACACUUUGAAAAAUUAUGAUAUAUACCCAUUUUCUCAUAAAUGAUAUUUCAUUUAAAACAUGUGACUAUGUGUACAGAUGUCCUUUUACAUAUAGUGUCAGAAUACUUGAGGGAGUGAAUGCAAAAUGUAUAAAUUAUACAAAAUUAAAAGUGAUGCUUGAAAUAAAGCCAUGGAGAGAAAAUA